rnacentral:rRNA from 1 species
CACGUAGGGUGCGAGCGUUGUCCGGAAUUAUUGGGCGUAAAGAGCGUGUAGGCGGCCUGAUAGGUCGGUUGUGAAAACUGGAGGCUUAACCUUCAGACGUCGACCGAAACCAUCUGGCUAGAGUCCGGAAGAGGAGAGUGGAAUUCCUGGUGUAGCGGUGAAAUGCGCAGAUAUCAGGAAGAACACCCGUGGCUAAGGCGGCUCUCUAGUACGGUACUGACGCUGAGACGCGAAAGCGUGGGGAGCGAACAGG